rnacentral:lncRNA from 1 species
UCCUUGGAACUAUACCACCAAUCAAAGAAAACACGUGGUGGAACUCAUGGCUCUAGCUGUAUAUGUAGCAGAGGAUGGCCUAGUUGGUCAUCAGUGGGAGGAGAGGCCCUAGGUCCUGUGAAGACUCCAUACCCAGUAUAGGGGAAUGCCAGGGCCAAGAAUGGGAGUGGGUGGGUUGGGGAGUAGGGGGAGAGGAUAGGGGAUAGGGGAUUUUCAGAGGGGAAACUAGGGAAGGGGAUAACAUUUGAAAUGUAAAUAAAGAAAAUAUCUAGUUAGAAAAAAAAACAGACAUACUGAGACUCAGAUUAAAUAACUUGUUACUGGAAAUACCACUAACAUAUGCUCAUGAAAUAGGUAGGUCACAUGUACCUAGAAGGAAAAAAAAGCAAAAUUGCCUCCAAUCUGUGUCAUGAAAGUUCUCUUUAAUCAGACCCUUGCUUCAGUGUCAAAUCUGCGCUCUGAAAGUAAUCCAUUUUGUUUGUGUCUUCAUCUUCUAACUUAUUUGUUGUUUGGCUUAUGAUGCUUAUCUGGUUUUUUCCACAUUUACUUUAUAUGGACUUCUGUCCCUCUUCUUGUUUUCAGUUAUUAUUGACAGUAGAAUCAAAGGUCAAUAUAGCCAGUGAACCCUUAUAUGGAAGUAAUGGUGCAGUGUAACAUAAUAGUUAAAUUUUGGAAGUUAAUGCCUCUGGUCCUAAAAUUAGAACAUACCAUGCUCAUACUUAGAUUUCUGUUAGACUUCCAUAGAAUGGCUCAGUGGUGAACACAGUUGCUUCUUACCAAACAUCUGUACAGGUUUUCCUCCUUGUAUUCAGGAUUGGGUCUGUUUGAGUCUUCACUAAGCAAAUCCAAGCUGUUACUGAGAAUUAGAUCCUCUGACAGUGUUCGUGAUCCAGAGACCUGAAAUGGGAAAGAGCACAUCAGUUAGUCACUGUGUAUGGUUUUUAACACACCUAGUGAAUAGAAAUGAGUUUGGAAGGACUCUGAGUUAGUAAUAAACUCAUUUAUAAAGGCAGAAUUACUGCAAAUACACUAAAAGUUAGGAAGACUGUCUGGUGGUUUGCCCUGCUGAUUGUACUCAGCAGUGUAAGUCUAUUCUCUUAGGCCUUAGUCAGCACUACCAACAAGAAUGUUGAACUGUGCGGUUGUGUUUGAAUGAGUUGCUGUUUCUAGGUCAUCACAGUUUGAAGAUUGCAUCAUUUGGGGCUGCUGUCAUGUGUUACAAACAAGCUAAACUCAUGAUAGAUUUAAUUUAGUUAUACCAAUUUUAUGAUAUUUAAGUCAAUAUUCUAAAAAUUCUAUUAGGAUAAAAGUUAUCUCAUGUUGACUUUAAAACUCUUAUAUUUGAGAUGAUUUGUACAUGAAACAGUGACUAUUAAACUAUAAAAUCAGGCUUUUUUACCCAGUUUUUUUUUUUAUUAGUUUAGCUCUUUGAAUUUUCAUACAUGAAUAUAAUGCAUUCUGGCUUACUCUCUUUUCCCAUUCUCUUCCCUCCCUUCUUUUUCAGUGCCUUUACAUUACCUGUUCUUUUCCAAGAUUUGUGACUUUUGCCUUUAUUUUGUGGCCCAUUUAGCUUAACGAGGGCCAUGCUUGUUACCUCAGGAUUAGGAUUUUAUAUUGGAGCCUUAAUGAGUCACAGUGGUAGGACAUAACUGAAAGUAGUCACACACACACACACUCAUUCCUUCUCUAAAUUUAUCAGUAGGUAUCUUUCAUGGCUAAGGAAACUUAUAGAAGAGUUUAUUGUGGGCUUACAAUUUCAGAGGGUGAGUCCAUGGCCAGUAUGGUACCUUGUGGCAUCAGGCAUGAAGGUGGGCAUAGUGCUGGAUCAGUAGCAAAAAACUUACAUGCUUAUCCAGAAGUAGGCAGUAAACAGAUAAUUGGGAAUGGCAUGAGUCUUUGAAACGUCAAAGCCCACUUCUAGGAACACACCUCCUCUAAUAAGACCACACCUCCUAAUUCCUCCACACUGCUUCACCAACUACUGACCAAAUAUCCAAACAUAGAAGCCUGCGGGAGCCACUCUUAUUAAAGCCACCACCAAAGGAAAUAGUUCCUUAGUGAGCAUCCCGAGUACUUGCUCCAUCCUUGCCUGGCUGUUGACGCAUCCGUCUGCAGCCCAAGUACAGUCGUCCAUAGUUAUUGGAAGCUCUUGAUUGCAAUGAAUGUACAUUGGCUAAAAGGUGGAAUUUCUCAACCCUUUCCCCUAUCUUCUGAUUCUUAAAUUCUUUCAGUGUCCUGUGCCUCAGUGUUUCAUGAGCCUUGGAGAAGAGGCUGUGAAUGUCUUGUUUAGGUUUGACUACUUGUCUGUCUCCUAUUCUCAGCACCUUGAAUGUCAGUGAGUCUCUGUAUUUACCACCAUUCACUGGAAAGAGCUUCUCUGGUUAAAGCCAAGAGUGUUAAUUGCCUAUAGAUACAAACAUAAUUAAAUGGGCAGUUGGAUGCUAUGCCAGUUUAGUUAAUCAGCAGAAUUAAAUAACCCCCUAGGCCCUUGAAAUCCCUUGCCAUGGGAUUUUGAACAGGUUCAAAGAACCAGCUUUGGAUUCUCUUUUAUGGUCAUUGUGGCUAAUUGUCCUCAGAACAAUCCUGAUACUAUUGUACAGGUGUUCUAGUCAACAUCACAUAAGUUAUGAGGCAGUGAAAAUAUCUUAACCUCUUCUAAAAGCAAACC